rnacentral:lncRNA from 1 species
CAUGACGUCUGCAAUUCUUGUGUAUACAGCCACCCCUCUUUAUCGACGGGGACUGGUUCUGGGACCCCUCCAUCUGAGGAUACCAAAGCCUGAGAUGCUCAAGCCAUUUGCAUAAAGUGGUGUAGGAGGUGCACAAACCUACGCAAUUCUCCUGCACACUUUAAACCUUCAGACAGCCUCUCAGACAUUAUACAGGUGAACGUUGCUUAUACCAUGGUCGACCUGUAUUGGUUAGGGAAUAAUGACAUGCACAUUUAGUAGAGAUGAAAUUUUUUUCCUGAGUAUCUUGUAUCUAUCUGCAGGUGUCUGAAUCCACAGCAGAGUCCAUGGAUGCCCACACAUUUGGAUGUAGUUAGAGUGGCAAAGGCAGUGUGGCAUAUGCUCUUGGGAGGAGAAAAAGCACAAAGGUCCUGACAGCAUUCUUUUUUGGGGGGUGGGGGUGGUUCUGAGAUUGAACCCAGGGUGGCUUUGCCACUGAGCUCCAUUCCAACCCUUUUUAUUCUUUUAUUUUGAGAUAACAUCUCAUUUGGUUGCUUAGGACCUCACUAAAGUCCUGAGGCUGGUCUCAAACUUGCACUUCUCUGUGUUCUUGGUUUAAAUUUUAAGUUUGAAAUCAUGUAAAUGCAAAAAUCCCCCACUUUUUAAAAAGACAACGUUGAGGAGAGUGGCAGGACCGAGUGGGGCGACCUGGAGGCCCACGCUUUGGAGAAGUUGGAGGGCGAAGAGGAGGAAGAGGCAGGCGCGGAUAACAUGAGGGAGGGGAUAUUUGUAGAGAUACCUGGAAGAGUGGGUGCUUGGACGAGCUUGGGGGCAGAACCGACUUUCC